CUGGUUGCCUCCUCUACCUCUUAACUCUCUCUGAGCGCAUACAUAGACAGAAAGGAAAACUAGGUAGCCACUUUUACUCGUGAUUUUGGUCGAUUUGGAGUUUGAUUUCGAAGAUGAUGAAGUUGAAGAAAAGUUAGAUUAAGGCAUAAUUUUAGCACUUGAAGGAGUCAUUUGGAGUCAUUUAGAGCUUGAGGAGUAGGAUUUGCGUUGCGAAAGUGAAGUACGAAGUUGAAGAUCAAGGUUGACUCCGUUCAUAUAGUACUGGCGACGGAUAUUUAUUGGAACUAUUUUGACGCUUAAUUGCAUUUGCAAGCACAUCCAUAUUGGAGCUAAGGUA